rnacentral:lncRNA from 1 species
ACAGACGUCGCCUCGGCCCGCACUCGCAGCCGCAGGUCCAGGCGUCAGGGAAGAGCCCGGGGGCCCCGCGAUGGGUCGCCGCCUUCGCCUCGUAGCCCCGGGCGCGGCCGCUCGCCCUCGCCUCUCGCAGGUGGCGACAGAAGUGCCCGGCGCGACGGCGCAACGGCCGGUCUGGGCCUGCAGCCUCGGCGGCCCGGGCCGGAGGGGAGCGGCCUCCGGACACCGUUUAUCAUAGGGCUCACCCUAGGAGACUGAAAGUUCAUGAUUGGGAGCAGAAGGCAUUGGAACAGAAGCAGAAACCACAGACAUUUGGGCAACUUCUUUUUUUUUUUUUUUUCUUAUUUAGUUUUUAUUCAUAAUCAUAAACUUAACUUUGCAAUCCAGCUAGACUUGAAGGGGAAUGAGGAAAAUAUGGAACCCAAAGAACUUCAGUGAGAGCAGAGAUUACAGGACAUUGCGAGCAGAUGGGGUAGGGACGCUGUCCUGAGCUACAGAAGGAAUGGUUUGAUGGGUAAAAUGCCCGCAAGUCAAAAGAAAUUAGAGCUGUCCACAGUCGGAAAUGGUGAUCUUCUUGCUGGUCUUGCCAUUCCUGGACCCAAAACGCUCCAUGGCUUCCACAAUGUUCAUGCCUUCUUUCACCUUCCCAAAGACCACAUGCUUGCCAUCCAGCCAUUCAGUCUUGGCAGUGCAGAUAAAAAACUGGGAACCAUUUGUGUUUGGUCCAGCAUUUGCCAUGGACAAGAUGCCAGGACCUGUAUGCUUUAGGAUGAAGUUCUCAUCCUCAAAUUUCUCUCCGUAGAUGGACCUGCCGCCAGUGCCAUUAUGGCGUGUAAAGUCACCACCCUGGCACAUGAAUCCUGGAAUAAUUCUGUGAAAGGAGGAACCCUUAUAGCCAAAUCCUUUCUCUCCAGUGCUCAGAGCUCGAAAGUUUUCUGCUGUCUUUGGAACUUUGUCUGCAAACAGCUCGAAGGAGACGCGGCCCAAGGGCUCGUCAUCGGCCGUGAUGUCGAAGAACACGGUGGGGUUGACCAUGGCUGCAGCAAACGGCGAAAAGCGACAGUGGCGUCUGCCAUUUGGGCAACUUCUAUCUGCCCAAAGAAACCAGAAUUUCCAGCUGCACUGGCUGGUUUUGUGUGUCAACUUGACACAAAUUAGUUAUCAGAAAAGAAGGCGCCUUAGCUGAGCAAACGCCUCCAUGAGAUCCAGCUGUAAAUUAUUUUCUCAAUUAGUGAUUAGUAAGGGAGGGACCACCAUGGAUGGUGCCACCCCCAGCUGGUGGUCCUGGGUUCUAUAAGCAGGCUGAGCAGGCUAUAGGAAGCAAGCCAGGAAGCAGCACCCCUCCAAUGCAUCUGCAUCAGCUCCUGCCUCCAGGUUCCAGCCCUGCUUGAGUUCCUGUCCUGCCUUCCUUUGGUGAUGAACAGCAGUGUGGAAGUAUAAGCUGAAUAAACCUUUUCCCCUCAACCUACUUUUUGGUCAAGGUGUCUCAUCACAGCAAUACAAGACCUAACUAAGACACCAACCAGCACAUAGUCUUUGUUUGAAACAGGAGCCUACUAUGUAGUCAAGGCUACUUUAGAACUUUUGUUGCAGCCCAGGCUGGUUUCAAACUCAAUCCUCUUGCCUGGAGCUUCCUAAGGGCUGGGAUUACAGACAUGUACCAUGACGCCUGGCUGCUCUUCCAUACUUUUAAAGUAGUAUAUUACUAAAGACAAGCAGCUGCAGAUAGUUAUUGUGUCUGUUAACGUUUUUGAAAAUAGCCCUGUACUGACAUUUAAUAAAAUACAGCUCCUUACUGUUUCAUG